rnacentral:rRNA from 1 species
CCUAACACAUGCAAGUCGAACGGAAACGAUGCUAGCUUGCUAGCAGGCGUCGAGUGGCGGACGGGUGAGUAAUGCAUAGGAAUCUACCUAAUAGUGGGGGACAACCUGGUGAAAACCAGGCUAAUACCGCAUAAUCCCUACGGGGCAAAGCAGGGGACCUUCGGGCCUUGCGCUAAUAGAUGAGCCUAUGUCGGAUUAGCUAGUUGGUGAGGUAAUGGCUCACCAAGGCAACGAUCCGUAGCUGGUUUGAGAGGAUGAUCAGCCACACUGGGACUGAGACACGGCCCAGACUCCUACGGGAGGCAGCAGUGGGGAAUAUUGCACAAUGGAGGAAACUCUGAUGCAGCAAUGCCGCGUGUGUGAAGAAGGCCUUAGGGUUGUAAAGCACUUUCAGUAGGGAGGAAAAGUUUAAGGUUAAUAACCUUAGGCCCUGACGUUACCUACAGAAGAAGCACCG